rnacentral:sRNA from 12 species
CGCCUAACCCUUAUGGAAGUCAUAAGGUAUGGCAUAAAAACACGGUUCAGGUAUAUCAAACUCUCAGUCAGAGCACCUGAACCGUCAUAUCCGAAAGGAUAUGGGUGGCGCAAGCCAUC